rnacentral:rRNA from 1 species
UACAGAGGGUGCAAGCGUUGCUCGGAAUCAUUGGGCGUAAAGGGCAAGUAGGUGGUCUCAUUUGUCUUGUGUGAAAUCCUUGGGCUUAACUCAAGGAGUGCGCAAGAAACGGUGAGACUCGAGUUCUGGAGAGGGUCGUGGAAUUCCCGGUGUAGCGGUGAAAUGCGUAGAGAUCGGGAGGAACACCAGAGGCGAAGGCGGCGACCUGGACAGAUACUGACACUCAACUGCGAAAGCGUGGGGAGCAAACAGG